GACGAACGCUGGCGGCGUGCCUAAUACAUGCAAGUAGAACGCUGAAGAGAGGAGCUUGCUCUUCUUGGAUGAGUUGCGAACGGGUGAGUAACGCGUAGGUAACCUGCCUUGUAGCGGGGGAUAACUAUUGGAAACGAUAGCUAAUACCGCAUAACAAUGGAUGACACAUGUCCUUUAUUUGAAAGGGGCAAUUGCUCCACUACAAGAUGGACCUGCGUUGUAUUAGCUAGUAGGUGAGGUAAUGGCUCACCUAGGCGACGAUACAUAGCCGACCUGAGAGGGUGAUCGGCCACACUGGGACUGAGACACGGCCCAGACUCCUACGGGAGGCAGCAGUAGGGAAUCUUCGGCAAUGGGGGCAACCCUGACCGAGCAACGCCGCGUGAGUGAAGAAGGGUUUCGGAUCGUAAAGCUCGGUUGUAAGUCAAGAACGGGUGUGAGAGUGGAAAGUUCACACUGUGACGGUAGCUUACCAGAAAGGGACGGCUAACUACGUG
rnacentral:rRNA from 1 species